GCUCCCAUUGCCUAGUGGUUAGAGCGUCCGCCUUAGAUGCGGGAGGGCGUGGGUUCGAUACCCGAUUGAGUCA